rnacentral:rRNA from 1 species
AACGAACGCUGACGGCGUGCCUAAUACAUGCAAGUCGAACGAGAAAGUACUUCGGUACGAGUAAAGUGGCGCACGGGUGAGUAACGCGUAGGUUAUCUACCUUCAAGUCGGGGACAACUGCGGGAAACUGUAGCUAAUACCGGAUGUGGAAGUAAUUCUAAAGGCCCUUCACGGGGUUGCUUGGAGAUGAGCCUGCGAGACAUUAGCUUGAUGGUGGGGUAAGAGCCUACCAUGGCGACGAUGUCUAGCUGGUCUGAGAGGACGAUCAGUCACACUGGAACUGAGACACGGUCCAGACUCCUACGGGAGGCAGCAGUAGGGAAUAUUGCGCAAUGGGGGAAACCCUGACGCAGCAACGCCGUGUGAGGGAGGAAGGCUCUAGGGUUGUAAACCUCUGUCAAUAGGGAAGAACUGCCAACAUAGGAAAUGAUGUUGGUUUGACGGUACCUAUAAAGGAAGCACCGGCUAACUUCG